GCACGUUAAUAUGCCAAGUUGCUAUUUUUGCCAAGUUAAUUUGUCCAACUGUUGGAGGCAAUUUUUUCUUGUUUUGCCAAAAUUAUAUGGAUGACAAAUUAUUUUGCCAAACUCUUGGAGAUGCAUGUUUAGUUCCCAAAAAGUUUUGUAAUAUUUUUUAAUUCUCCGUCACAUCGAAUCUUGUGGCACAUAUAUGAAGUAUUAAAUAUAGAUUAAAAAAUAACUAAUUGCACUAUUUAUAUGUAAUUUGUGAGACGAAUCUUUUGAGCCUAGUUAGUCUAUGAUUGGAUAAUAUUUAUCAAAUACAAACAAAAGUGUUACGGUGUCCAUUUUGAUAAUUGUUUACAACUAAACAAGGCCUAAAUCAAAAGGGAUAGCCAAAGGGAUUUAAAGACUCCGUUCGCUUAUCUUGUAAGCUGUAUUUUUUUUAUCAGCCAACAAUAUUUUUUUAAAAAAUAAAUCAACGAAUAGUAAUUUCAGUCAUGAUUUUUUAGACAAGCAUGAGUUUAAUUCUAGGACUAAUGGGUGCAGAUUAAAAGUAACCUAGUUUUUUUUGUUGGGUUGAACUUAUCUCACGUUUGGUUAGGGAAUGGGAUUAUCCCACAUUUUCUGUUUGGUUAGAGAUAGAUAUGGGUUGACAAGUGGGUCUCGCACAUAAGCCACUCAAACAUCAUCUUCUACCUCCCAACGAGUCUCGACAAGCAAAGUCCUGUUGUUCCUUCGCGUAAGCAUGGUUCCCCGGCGUACGAUGUGCUGCUCCUCCGCCUGCAUGGCACGUAGGCGGCUCGCCCUACUGCUCUUCCGUCAGAUCCCGGCUCGCUAGUGGCUACCCGGCUGUCGUGCGCUACUGAGGAGAUGCAUGCGCUCGAUGUUUUUUUUUUCACCGAAGUCAGCACGCAAGUCCCAUUUUAUUUUUUUUAAUAAUGCAGAUCGGUUUAAAUUGUUUUUUACCGAAGUCAGCAAAGAAAACACCAGCCUAUUUUUUUAUUUUUUAAUAAUAACCUGUUUAAAUUCGCUCCCUUUCGCAGCAUGCGCUCGAUGUGGGUGGCGAAAUAGCCAUCUUGGUCCUUAAACUAUCGCAUGAGGCUCAAAUUGGUCCCUCAACUUUCAAAACAUCCAUUUUAGUCCCUAAACAAUUGGUUUUUGGUCAAUCUCGUCUAUUGCUGUUAACUAAUCGCCACAUGUCUAGAAAGUCAUGCAAAAAGUCAUUCCUGCCCCUUACUCCAUCAUUUAUGCAUUCAAAGAGAAAAACUAUGACCUGUUAGAUGCAUUCAAAGAAAAAACUACGAACACGUCAAUCUCGUGCUUGUCUUCACGUUAGAUUUGGGUGCCAAAAGGCAGAGCAGCUCUCCUCACAAAAAAACUAUGAACACGUUCGAUGCAUUCAAAGAAAAAAUAUAGUUUCAAGCCAAUGAUAUUAAUGCCUUUGUAUCACCUAAUCAUUUGUUUAUGAACACUUGUCUUUGUUAUGUCAAAACAUGAGACAAUAUGACAGACAUUGUUAGGAAUUUGUUUCUGCAUAAGGCAUCUAUUGCGAGACCUGAGAUAAGGAGAGGGGAAACAGGGAGGAAACGGUGGACGAGAACGCUGUGAAGACUAGGCGGCUCAGAAAGGAUGGGCGAGGGGCAGCAAUGACUUUUGGCAUGACCUCCUAAACACGUGGCGAUUAGUUAACGGCGAUGGAUGAGAUUGACCCGAAAAUCGAUUGUUUAGGGACUAAACUGGGCGUUUUGAAAGUUGAGGGACUAAAUUGAGCCUCGAGUGAUAGUUUAAGGAUAAAGAUGGCUAUUUCGCCGAUGUCGGUCGACCCCGUUCGCUCGAUUUUGCGGUGUCCUGGGAACCUGCAUCUACGGGGAACACUGAUUCAAACACCUAGAAAAAAUGGUCCAACCUACUCCCUCCAUCCAAACACAUGUUUAAAGAUUUCUGUAAAACUCUAGUUGGGAGUCCCAAAUCUCCACAUCCACACUAAUAAUCUAAAUCACCGAAGGCUUACUUCACUAACGCACUAAUCAUCAUCUAAGAGUAUCUCCGAAAGUUUUUUUUAAAAAAACUUACUCUCUAAAUCAUUAUUUAGAGUUAUUUGCAUAAAAAUGUUUUGUAUACCUUUCCGUUUCUUCUUCUUGUUGUUGUUAGGGCACUCACAAUGCAGACUCUAUCGUAGAGUCUAAAGUUAUUUAUUACCUCGAACAAUGUGGACUUGGAGUCUAAAUAAGACUUGGAGUCUUAUUUUUUCUACCUCUUUCUUCAAUAAAUAUACUGCCACAUCAGCAA
rnacentral:lncRNA from 1 species